GGGACACGUGGUAUCCUGUCUGAAUAUGGGGGGACCAUCCUCCAAGGCUAAAUACUCCUGACUGACCGAUAGUGAACCAGUACCGUGAGGGAAAGGCGAAAAGAACCCCGGCGAGGGGAGUGAAAAAGAACCUGAAACCGUGUACGUACAAGCAGUGGGAGCACGCUUAGGCGUGUGACUGCGUACCUUUUGUAUAAUGGGUCAGCGACUUAUAUUCUGUAGCAAGGUUAACCGAAUAGGGGAGCCGAAGGGAAACCGAGUCUUAACUGGGCGUUAAGUUGCAGGGUAUAGACCCGAAACCCGGUGAUCUAGCCAUGGGCAGGUUGAAGGUUGGGUAACACUAACUGGAGGACCGAACCGACUAAUGUUGAAAAAUUAGCGGAUGACUUGUGGCUGGGGGUGAAAGGCCAAUCAAACCGGGAGAUAGCUGGUUCUCCCCGAAAGCUAUUUAGGUAGC
rnacentral:rRNA from 1 species